AUUUGAUAAUGUGGACAUAGUAUUUGUAGCUCCCCAAAUCUUUCCCAAGCUUCGAAGAAUUCCUCCGUAUGCUUUUGUCUAAAAGCUUGGAUCAUGUUUCUUAACU
rnacentral:snoRNA from 1 species